CCGGAGCUGAGCCGGAGCGCGCGAGUAGCAUCCUUGGUGGCAGAUCACCCAAGGCCGGAGCACUGCUGCGCUCCAGCUCAGGGAGGGUGACUCAAGAGCCUGACCACGGCAGGACCCCACUGGCCCCGAGCCCACCCCUACCCGGCGUAGCCCAGCCCCGCGCGUCUGCUGGCAGUAGCCGCCGCUGCCGCCAGGAUGGACGUGUUCAUGAAGGGCCUGUCCAUGGCCAAGGAGGGCGUUGUGGCUGCAGCUGAGAAAACCAAGCAGGGGGUCACCGAGGCGGCAGAGAAGACCAAGGAAGGCGUCCU
rnacentral:lncRNA from 1 species